AAUAGAUACCCCCGGGUAGUCCACGCCGUAAAACGAUGAGUGCUAAGUGUUAGAGGGUUUCCGCCCUUUAGUGCUGCAGCAAACGCAUUAAGCACUCCGCCUGGGGAGUACGGUCGCAAGACUGAAACUCAAAGGAAUUGACGGGGGCCCGCACAAGCGGUGGAGCAUGUGGUUUAAUUCGAAGCAACGCGAAGAACCUUACCAGGUCUUGACAUCCUUAUGCCAUCUCUAGAGAUAGAGCUUUCCCUUCGGGGACAUAAGUGACAGGUGGUGCAUGGUUGUCGUCAGCUCGUGUCGUGAGAUGUUGGGUUAAGUCCCGCAACGAGCGCAACCCUUGAUCUAGUUGCCAGCAUUCAGUUGGGCACUCUAAGGUGACUGCCGGUGACAAACCGGAGGAAGUGGGGAUGACGUCAAAUCAUCAUGCCCCUUAUGACCUGGGCUACACACGUGCUACAAUGGAUGGUACAAAGGGCAGCGAAACCGCGAGGUUAAGCCCGAAAUCCCAUAAAAACCCAUUCUCAAGUUCCGGAUUGCAGGU
rnacentral:rRNA from 1 species